AUUUAUCAAGGUCUCGGUAAGCGUUAUCAGCCUCGCCUUCGGCUCGGCUGAUAACGCUUACCGAGACUGACCUUGAUAAUU